UUUAUUGUAAACUCUAAACCCUAACCGUCCUUCUAAACCCUAACCGUUCUUCUAAACCUAAAUCAAUAUUUAACCUCGUU
rnacentral:sRNA from 1 species